UACGUAGGGUGCAAGCGUUAAUCGGAAUUACUGGGCGUAAAGCGUGCGCAGGCGGUUAUGUAAGACAGAUGUGAAAUGCCCGGGCUUAACCUGGGAACUGCAUUUGUGACUGCAUGGCUAGAGUUUGGCAGAGGGGGGUAGAAUUCCACGUGUAGCAGUGAAAUGCGUAGAUAUGUGGAGGAACACCGAUGGCGAAGGCAGCCCCCUGGGUCAAGACUGACGCUCAUGCACGAAAGCGUGGGGAGCAAACGAGGAUUACGAAACCCCGGGUAGUCCAGAACCCGAA
rnacentral:rRNA from 1 species